rnacentral:rRNA from 1 species
UACAGAGGGUGCGAGCGUUAAUCGGAAUUACUGGGCGUAAAGCGCGCGUAGGCGGUUUUGCAAGUCGGGUGUGAAAUCCCCAGGCUUAACCUGGGAACUGCAUUCGAGACUGCAUUACUAGAGUAUGGGAGAGGGAAGUGGAAUUUCCGGUGUAGCGGUGAAAUGCGUAGAUAUCGGAAGGAACAUCAGUGGCGAAAGCGGCGCUCUGGGCUGGAACUGACGCUGAGGAGCGAAAGCGUGGGGAGCGAACAGG